CACUUGCCACGGCUACAUCAGUCACUUUGCUCUCUCAGCUAAACUUCCGACCCGUUUGUCACGGCACUGUUUGCUGUUCUCAGCCACGAGCAGAGACGACCACAUGGAAUUAAUUAGUCGCCGCAGGUUGAGAAGCCAGGGCCACUGUUUUGACCAGCACAUCAUUACAAUAUGUUCACUGUCGCUCUCAACUAUAACUCUCCCCAAGUUUCCAUGAGAAUAAGUUCUGAAGAGCAACACAGGUGAGAAGAGAAAGGACUGGGCAGGAAUACUUGAGAAACUUCCUGAAUCUUCCAAAUGGAAGCAGUGUUCCUGGAACAGAGGAGCCCACUUCCUGUGAGACCACGUGGACACGAUGACACACUACUUCAGUGGAGCUUCUCUUUUAAGGAGCCGCUUCACAAGCCUUUAAAAAUUACCUUGCAGCCGUGGGUAUUUGUUUACCGCGGCCUGAAUUUUAUCAUGGAUGCCUGCCAUCGCUGAGGGGAAGUGCUUCACACGCAGUUUAUCGGUGCCAGGACCAUGGGUUAGUGAAUGUGGAUUUCCAUGAGAAUACGUUUGACAACAGACCUUGGACCAGAUGAGGUAAAGCCAAUGUUUUGAAAGAGAGAUAGAUGGGUGUCCUGGUGGUCCGGGUAUAUGAGACACAACACGAUGAGACGACAACAUCCUCGGUUUGAUUUUUAAGAUCAGCCGUCGACCUUUGUUGGACGUAAUACCCGUCCUCUCUUUCUCUCUAUCUCUCCUCAUUUCCUGUUUGCCUCCACAGGUUUUCAAUAAAGGCAAGAAAUACAAAAG